rnacentral:piRNA from 1 species
UUUUUUUAAUAUCAUUGUUGG